rnacentral:tRNA from 1 species
GGUUUGUGGCUCAGUGGUAGAGCACUUGCCUAGCAUGCAUGAGGCCCUGGGUUCUAUACCCAACACCA